GACGGAGGGCGCGAGCGUUAUUCGUUUUGAUUGGGUGUAAAGGGUAUGUAGGCGGCCCCCAGUAUUUUGGCCAAAAGAGCGGAGUGUUCUUAUGCUAUAUGGCCUUUGAAGAAGGGGGCUUGUGUUGAUGAUAGGUCGGGGCAAGUUCUUAUGUAGGGGUAGAAUCCCACCAUAUGAGAACGAACGUCAGCUGGCGAAGGCGCCCUUCCCGCUUCAACAGACGCUAAGGUACGGGAAGCUUAGGUAGCAACAGGGG
rnacentral:rRNA from 1 species